AACGAACGCUGGCGGCAUGCCUAACACAUGCCAGUCGAACGAGCCCUUCGGGUCUUGUGGCGCACGGGUGCGUAACGGGCGGGAACCUGCCCCUAGGUUAGGCAUCCUUCACCGCUAGGGGUGCUCAUACAGGCCAAUGCUUUCGGCGCAAAGCUUUAUCGCCUUUGGAUGGGCACGCGUUGGAUUAGCUGGUUGGUAGGGUAAAAGCCUACCAACGCGACGAUCCAUAGCUGGUCUGAGAGGAAGGGCAGCCACACUGGGGCUGCGACACGGCCCAGACUCCUACGGAAUGCAGCAGAGUGGAAUGUAGGACCAUGGGGGAAAGCCUGAUCCAGCAAUGCCGCGUAAAUGAUGAAGGCCUGGGGGUUGUAAAGCUCUUUUACCCGGGAUGAUAAUGACAGUACCGUGAGAAUAAGCUCCGGCUAACUCCGUG
rnacentral:rRNA from 1 species